UACGUAGGGGGCAAGCGUUGUCCGGAUUUAUUGGGCGUAAAGAGCGUGUAGGCGGCCAGGUAGGUCUGCUGUGAAAACUCGAGGCUCAACCUCGAGACGUCGGCGGAAACCAUCUGGCUAGAGUCCGGAAGAGGAGAGUGGAAUUCCUGGUGUAGCGGUGAAAUGCGCAGAUAUCGGGAGGAACACCUGUGGCGAAAGCGGCGCACUGGACCAUAACUGACGCUGAGGCGCGAAAGCUAGGGGAGCAAACAGG
rnacentral:rRNA from 1 species